ensembl:snRNA U6 U6 spliceosomal RNA
GUGCUCGCUUCGGCAGCACACGAACUAAAAUUGGAACGAUACCAAGAUUAACCUAGCCCCUGCACGCGGGUGACAUGCAAAUUCAUGAAGCAAAGUCUGAUUAU